UACAGAGGGUGCGAGCGUUAAUCGGAGUUACUGGGCGUAAAGGGCUCGUAGGCGGCCAACUAAGUCGGACGUGAAAUCCCCAGGCUCAACCUGGGAACUGCGUCUGAUACUGGAUGGCUUGAAUCCGGGAGAGGGAUGCAGAAUUCCAGGUGUAGCGGUGAAAUGCGUAGAUAUCUGGAGGAAUACCGGUGGCGAAGGCGGCAUCCUGGACCGGCAUUGACGCUGAGGAGCGAAAGCCAGGGGAGCAAACGGG
rnacentral:rRNA from 1 species